rnacentral:rRNA from 1 species
AUUGAACGCUGGCGGCAUGCCUUACACAUGCAAGUCGAACGGCAGCACGGGGCAACCUGGUGGCGAGUGGCGAACGGGUGAGUAAUGCAUCGGAACGUACCUUUCAGUGGGGGAUAACGUAGCGAAAGUUACGCUAAUACCGCAUAUUCUGUGAGCAGGAAAGCAGGGGAUCGCAAGACCUUGCGCUGAUUGAGCGGCCGAUGUCAGAUUAGCUAGUUGGUGAGGUAAAGGCUCACCAAGGCGACGAUCUGUAGCGGGGCUGAGAGGAUGAUCAGCCACACUGGAACUGAGACACGGUCCAGACUCCUACGGGAGGCAGCAGUGGGGAAUUUUGGACGAUGGGGGCAACCCUGAUCCAGCCAUGCCGCGUGAGUGAAGAAGGCCUUCGGGUUGUAAAGCUCUUUCGGCCGGGAAGAAAUCGCACGGGCUAAUACCCUGUGUGGAUGACGGUACCGGAAUAAGAAGCACCGGCUAACUACGUGCCAGCCGCCGCCGUAA